UCCCUGGUGGUCCAGUGGUUAGGACUCUGUGCUUCUGCUGCACAGGGCACAGGUUCAAUCCCUGGUCAGGGAG
rnacentral:tRNA from 2 species